GCUGCUGUUGCUGUUAUGGUUUUUACAGAGCUUACAGUUUUAAUAAGUUUUUCCUUGCCCUCCCUUUGUUUUUUCCCUUUAGUUUCUGUGUUUGAAGAACAUACGCACCUUCCUGAAAGUCUGCCACGAUAAAUUCGGAUUAAGGAACAGCGAGCUGUUUGACCCCUUUGACCUCUUCGAUGUGCGAGACUUCGGAAAGGAUCCUAGGAGGCUGUGAUUUCAAGACCUGAGUUCAAGCUCUGGGAGCGGCCUUGGCCAAUGAGUGGAUCCCUUGAUCUCCAUGCCAGUGGUGUGAGGACUUGGCUCUGGGAAGAGGGGCCUCUGGGUGGCUGUGGUGGCAGCAGCCCACGCCUGAGGACGCACUAGGAGCAGAGGAGGUGUGCUCAGGCCCUGCCAUUGUUCCUCAUUUGCCCCCAAGACAUUAAUUGUGUCUGUUGGAGCCUGACAAUUUGAUGUUUGCAGCAAAAAAGCCGAAUGAGACCAAGAAGGAGAAAAGAAAAAAAAAU
rnacentral:sRNA from 1 species